ACACCGUUGGUGAAGUGGUUAUCAUGCUUGCCUUCCAUUUGCUCGGUCAGACUGUAUAUAUGGCACUUUGAGCAAGCGGCUCGGGUUCGAUUCCCGAACGGUGUA